CCUACGGGUGGCAGCAGUGGGGAAUAUUGCACAAUGGGGGAAACCCUGAUGCAGCGACGCCGCGUGAGGGAAGAAGGAAUUCGGUAUGUAAAGCUCUAUCAGCAGGGACGAAAAUGACGGUAGUUGAGUAAGAAUCACCGGCUAACUACGGCCCAGCAGCCGCGGUAAUACGUAGGGGGCAAGCGUUAUCCGGAUUUACUGGUUGUAAAGGAGGCGUAGACGGCAGUGCAAGUCUGGAGUGAAAGGCAGGGGCUCAACCCCCGGCCUGCUUUGGAAACUGUAGUGCUGGAGUGCAGGAGAGGUAGGUGGAAUUCCUAGUGUAGCGGUGAAAUGCGUAGAUAUUAGGAGGAACACCAGUGGCGAAGGCGGCUUACUGGACUGUAACUGACGUUGAGGCGCGAAAGCGUGGGGAGCAAACAGGAUUAGAUACCCGUGUAGUC
rnacentral:rRNA from 1 species